GCCCCGUAGGCGUAACGGAUGCGCACCAGUCUUCUAAACUGGGUGACCGGGUUCAAUUCCCGGACGGGGUGUCA
rnacentral:tRNA from 1 species